rfam:Canis lupus familiaris chromosome 38, whole genome shotgun sequence.
GCCUGGCUGGCUUAGUCAGUAGGGCAUGCAACUCUUGAUCUCAAGGUUGUGAGUUCAAGCCCCAUGUUGGGCA